ensembl:lincRNA
AUGUGGGUCAGCAGGAGUGGACCCUCACAGCUCACAGAGACCUCUUCCCAGUCUGAAUGCUGCGGCACUGUUGCAGUAAAUCCCGGGUGGCGUCCAAAGGAGACGACAAAAGCCGGGGAGAUGGAGACAGCGAAUCCAGAAGCUGUGCCCAUGAGCUCAUACCCUGAUGUGCACAGAAUAACGAAGAGGGGAGCCGUCAGCAUGGUGCCCAUGCUGAGACUCUGAAGUCUGAGGUGCAGUGCCACUGAGGGGGCUCUCUGUGUAAGGAUGACCCCAAAUUUACCCCAAAAGUGAAAGUGACCCCAAAUUUGUGUGUGCUCAUAGUUUUUCUGUAUAUAUAUCUAAAAAAAUACAUUUUUACAUACAACCAACUUUUCUCAGUGCCAUCCUGCCUCUGGGACCUGUGCCCAGUUGCUGUUUUGGGUCUGUGCCACAUUGCCAGGCUUCAGCAGCACAGCUCAGUCUGCCAGUGUGUCAGUCCCAAGUCUUUGUUUCUAUGGAUACGACUUCUUUACUGCCAAGCCUUUCCCCCUCACCCCAGCAUCAGCCAGAGCUGAGCCGCAGGGCAAACACUGUGGGCAAACCAGCAUCACAUUCUUCUCCCUUUUCUUGUAUUUUGGAGAAACAACUUUUGGAAGUUGAAAGUCUGUCGCUGGUUUGAUUAAAACUGAUUGCAUGCUCGACUUAUAGUCUCAUCUUAAAUUAAGAGGAGUGAAAUAGCUGCAAUAAACUACACAUGCACAAUUGCAAUUUCUACAACCUGAGACAGAACCUAAACGCUGAGGCUGUGUAUGCGCAUUUGUGUCGGGGGGAGGAUGGGAGGAGGUGUUUAUUAAUGCAAGCGGAAAACAGCAGAUUCCAGUAGUGACACUUUUCAAAGUGCAGCUCUCCACAGGGGGGCAUUUGCAUACUUAUUAAUCACGUGAAAUUCUGCUCUCCAGAAGGCAGAUCUUACCAAAUGGACAAAAGGUAUAAAAACAAAAAAGGAAAGGUGCAAUAAGUAAUAGCGUUGAGCAUUUUGUUAGUAGUUGCCCUUAGGAUCUUGAAUGUAUGGUUUUUCCUCUUGGUUGGCAUAAAGACAGGCUACAAACCUUGCUAUACAAUCCCUGACCUUGUAAAUGAAAAACCCACACAGGACAAAUUAGUCAGCAGAUCUGAAAUAAAAGAUCCUUUUUGUUCGUCAGCUUGUUGUCAGAUCAACGGGACAAACAAUAUUAAAAAAAAUGGAAAUAAUGACUUUAGAAAUCUGAUUGCGAAUCAUUAGUGUGCUAAUUAUUGCUUCUGUGCAUCAAAACCAAAAGCCAUAAUCAAUUAGCAAUGAAUAGGACAUUCAGGUAUUCUUGUUUACAACCACUUAUCUUUUAAAAGCUUUGAAGGACUACCUCUGGCUUCCACUGAAAGAAAACUCUGCAAUCAUUACACUUGAGCAUUGUUGAGAAUAAAUCUUUCCCACUGUUGGUACAUGAAAUCCAGAAUUAAUAAUUUCAAAACCACAAGCCUUUCAGACUUCGCCAAAACCCACUAUUUGCGGUGGGAGAUGUUGCAGUCGGCAUUCCCGCCCUAAUUAGCUUCUUAGGAUAAACUGGACGUGUGUAAAUACUUGUGGUUUUAAAUACUUUUGAAUCUUUUUUAUGCAUUUUUCAUUUUGUUUCUCUUGUAAGAGAAAACACGAAUAAAGCACCGCUAUCCUUCAUUCAAACAGCCUGUGAUGUGGUUAAGGACAAUGUCUUUGAUGUGGUUGGAAAAGCAAGCGAAGUUUGGAAGUAAAAUC